rnacentral:lncRNA from 1 species
GAUCUCUCUCCUUGCUUUUUUAACGUUUUAUUUUUCGUAUUCUUUGGAUCAGUAAUUACUGAGUACGGAGUACGUGAUUUAUUUAUUUUCUGGGUGGAGCCGCGCCUCGUGACAAACACGCUAGACUGGUCAAGGCCAACGCUAAAUCCACAGGCAUUGUACUCGUAGCACUCCCAGAAAAAUAAAAGAGGCUUCAUCGUAUCUUUUUUUUUAGAAAUGGGUACGAAUACAUAGCGGCAGAUUACUCCGCCUACAAAAAUGAAAAAAGUAAUCUUCUUGUUAGUAUUAUACAGAGGUCCAGAUAUAGAAAUGGCAUCCUGUCCCGUGGUAAACUUUUCUGAAUUUCAGACACGGUGUCAAAUCAAUAUGCUCCCCAGUAGUAAAUUAUCUGUCCCAGCCUUUUGACCUAACUUCAUUUUGGCGCAAACUGAAUAAGCUAGGGUUAGAGUGUUGGACAACAACAUCAAGAGAAUCUAAAAGGGGGACCGCUAGCUCUUUGUUGAAAAGAAUAAUGUUUCUUAAGACAAAUUAAAUGUAUACUCGUAAUAUUGUGGAUCUACCCAAGGUUUUUUUUUCUUUUCUUCCUUUUUUCUUAGAUCAUGGGUGUCCCUACGUUUCCCGCCUAUCAUCAUGGAAAGAAGAAUGUCUUUGCGAGAAUUGGCCAGGAGUUGCUGUCCGAACCAAAGCAGAAUUAGCACAAUGUGUACAGAUGGCACUGUCAGGACCAUCAAAAAGGCUAAAUUAAACAUUUAAGCAGCUGCAAGGAAAAUGAUUAAGAUGGUUACACUUCUCGAUCAAAUGGUGGGCCACUGAAAUUGACCUCGUCCCCUGGUCCAGAAUAGCAUGUUUAUUCUCAAUUAUUGAGUCCUUUCUGUGGGUUUUUUCAAAGGACAUGGGUAAGUGCACCCAAAGCGUGUUCAAAAUUGUUGGAUUAUUUAAUCAAUUCAGUACUUCAACUUCAAGCUACGAUUUCAAUGUGAUGCUACUCCACUGGGUUAUGCUUGAGUCAAAUUAAUUUGUGGACAAGACAAAGGAUGGGCCUGGCUCGAGUCAAAGGUAUUUAUCUGAAUACCAAUAUUUUGGCCAAAUAACUAGAUACUACGUAUAUGUAGCACAUGUGUGUAUAAGGGCCUUUUUGAUUCACAGGAUUUCAAAAUCGCAGAAAUAGGAAAAACAUAGGAUUUGAAUGUCAUGUCAUGUUGAAUCUUAUGGAAAUUCAAAAUACAGGAAGUUGUUUGAUUGAACCACAAGGAAAAAUGUAGAAUUUGCUUAAAGGAUUAUGUGCUACUCAUUUUUGUCAUAGAGACAAAGGAAAUUUUCCAUGAGGUUGAAAUUUUCCUUUGGAAUUGCAUGCAAACUAGUCCACAGGAAUUAUUCCUGUGGUUUCAAAUCAUGUAAAUCAAACGAGCUAUAAAGGAAAUAUUCCAUAGGAAUAGAACCCUUCAAAUUUUCUAUGAAAUUUCUUUGAAUCAAAGGAGCCCUAGAUGGAAAAGUAAGUCAAAAUGAUAAGAUGUUUAAGCUACUUAUCCUCAAAACAACUCCCUCCUCCCUUGGCCUAAUGGCCCAAUUCUCAACUGAAUCAAGUUUAUAUCUCCAAAAACAUGGUUUUCAAGUGUAAUUUUUUUGACAUCUUGAAACUUUGAACACCAACUCUAAAAAUCGUAGGCCCGUCCUUGGACCCAAGCUGACGUAUCCUGUUUGCUUUUUUCGAAAAGGGAAAGCGAUCCCCGCCUUCCCGCCCUCUGCAUCAAUUGAUUCAUUCUGUUUGUUGUUUCUAUGUGUACGUCAGUGCACGUUACGGUAGGAUUCAUUCAAGAGGAUUAUCUUGGUUUCGUUCAUAUUCUUUUCUGAUAACUUCAGGUGCACAGAUUUAUCUGGAAAAACAUGAAAGCGAUGGGUAAUAUAGUUACAGAACUUGGAAGUAAGAAAGAACGAGCUGGCCUCAAUUAUGGUGUUCCGCAGGCCGGUAAUUGCUUUCCAGAAUCCAUUUGGGAAUUUCAAGCAGAAGAAUACUUUUUGCAGUAACACAUGACACGUCAGUCUCAUCGUCAGAGCACGCAGCCAAAGAGAAAACUGUAUAGCUAAGCUUCAGGCGUUUCUUUUAUAAGAACAUGCAGAGCUUGCACGCCACUGGUCAUUAAAAAUACAUGCGUUUCUGAGUUCAGAAAACAAAUCCGAUAAAAGAUUGCUGGAACAAAUCAGUAUUUCCUGCAUUAGCUCUCUUUGUUACUUCUUCCGUCACAUAUUUAAUGACUCAAUUUGUCUAAAUAUGAUAUAUCUAUACCGAAAAAGCAUCUAUGCAUGUAAGGGCAUCCACAGUAUUUAGAGAUAUAAUACCUCUAAGCUGGGACCCACCUCUUAUCUCUAACCUUAUCACCAAAUGCUGCAGUCUUUAGAAACAAUUUCAUCUCUAUCAGUACAAAGUACUAUGAUGCUCUCACAUAAUCUUUUUUCUUACUUAUUCUAUUGGACUUCUAUAGCAUAGAGGCUGCCUCCAAAGAAAGAGGCAUUUCUCAUCUCAGAUUCUUAGAGGUAGGAGAUUGGAAUGCUUAGAGGUUGCCUCUAAUGGUUAGAUGCAUCUAUAGAGGUAGAAAAGCUAAAGACCGUGGAUGCUCUAAUAUUUCGUUCACUUAAUAUGGGACGGAAGGAGUAUAAUUUCGAAGAGGACAUGGCGAAUAAUUUCUUCGUCAUAUUUUACGGAAUAUGUAUAUCCUUAUGCGCCUAUACACUCGGGGGAACUUUUAGAAACGAGAAAUUACAUUUUGCUUAGUGGAAGAUUUUGCAGGAGCUCGGUAGCCAAACAAGAUUUUGGACACGUAACAUAUCCAUCGAGGGGUCAUGCCAUGCACGUUGUUGGAGGGGGCAUUUUCAGCUGCAGAAGAGUAUUUUUGCAGUAACACAAAAAUUCUUCAACGUACGCUGCGGUUGCCGACCAAAGUACCAAACUCGGAGCCAAAUUCUUCAACGCUACGGCCACCGUCCAAAGCUCGGAUCGAGAUUGACAACACCCAUCGUCGAUCUGAUAUAUCGGAAUCGUCGUGUCUAACAGACCGGAUUGAAGCACCUGGUAGGAAAAAGAUCCAAGGAAUGUAGCCGUGCAAAAAUACAGUCAUGCUUGGUAUUCUACAGUUUUUAACAAGUAAACUGAACUCUUGAUAGACGGCUCUAUACAAAUCUGGAAGGAAAAAAAAUUCAACCAUACAGCUCAAAAGCAGCGAAGAUGUUUUUUUUUGUUAGUCUUGACACUCUAACCCAGAAGUGUACGGUAAAUCACUCCGGUGAUGAUAUUUCAGACCGUCUUUGAAAGGAUUUUGGUUGUAGGCUGGUAAUUGAUCACAACUCUAGCUAGCUAUUUAGGGCCUCUUUGGAGUGAAUACUGUCGGAGAUCACCUUAACUAUAUUUGUCAGCGCAUUUUUCCUGAAUUCAAAAUUGAGCAGACAAUGUAAUGAAAAUCGGUUCAUGUUGGUCAUAAAACCUUAUACGCGACUUCCGUCCGGUGUAGAACAAUCGUUCCAGUUAUUCGGGCAACAAAACCUGGAUGAGGCCAGAAUUUGUCACUUUGUUUAUGUUCUCACAGUUACCACAGAUCAUCAAUCCUCAAAGCAACGGCAUUCCAAAACAGAAGCAAUAUCCUUACAAGAAAAACACAAGCAAUACACCAGAGGGAUUCAUUCCUAAAAUAAAACACACAAACACCAACCAAAAAGUAAGGAGUACUGCUCGGCAUCUUCAUCUUUUUCAUUUUUUACUCGUAGAAGUACCUACGUACUUCCUCUCUCCCAUAAUAUGAGGCACGUACGCAUCUCUAGAUUCUCAAUUUGAUUAAUUAAAUAUGUAUGUUUCUUAACAAAUAGUACAUCAUUAGAUUCGUUGUCGAAAAAACUUUCUAAUGAUAUAACUUUUUAAUUAUUUAAUUUAUAUUUAGUUAGCAAAAUUAACGAUUUAGGGAUGCGUACUUGUGCCUCGAUAUUAUGAGACGGAGAGAGUACUGUACUGCCGUUUUACUUUUCCUUCUCUCUUCACAGGCGAGUGAAUCAGUAAUACUAGAGUGACAGAGAGUAUUCAAUAUAGGCAUUCCAAUUAGGUCAGGGCACAUGCGCCUGCUGCAUCUCGCAGAAAAUGGAAGCACCUGCUCUUGCGCUCCCCACCAGUAGUACCUCUAUUUUGGAUUGCUGCCCGGUUCCUAUAUAUACACCAUGUUUCAGUUUUAGAAUACUCAUCCCAAUGUUGAAAUACGGUCCUGUGUUUGCCUUUCAAAUUUCCCCCCUUCCAUUUUGUGUUUUGAUUUCAGGAAGACUCAGCUGUUAUUUUCUCUCCUGCAAAAGCAUAGGUAUGCUAUUUUCCUCAUUGUUAAUAGGCUGUUUAAUUGUCAGCUCUCUUCCUUCAUUUUUCAGCCUUACACUGUCUAUUAGUAAUGAUUUCCUUUUGCUCUUAUUUACUUUGUUAUCUUGCUGAGAUUGAAAUUUAUGCGUAACUAAUGAGAUAAACUAUAUGUUCUCUCUAUAGUUUUUGCCCAAGUAACUUUGCUGUUCUUGAUCCUCGGUGACAUUUCCAACCUUUGGAGCUUUCUUAGGCCAUCUAUGUGUCUGGUCCAAACACACUCCAAAGAGGAUGCAAGAACCAAGGAGGAGUGUAUCACCACGAGCUAAACAGUUGUACAAAGGCAGGUGCUCUGCCAAAUCCAUAGGAAAAAAAAGAGGGUCAGCAUCAUCUUCUGGUGAGCCUAGCAUUUCCCAAUCCCCAGUGCUCUGCCUGCCUUCCAAAUGAGUACAAACACAAACUGAGAUUUCUUUUCUCUCCCUCUCUCUCUCUCCCUAUACCUCUUUCCUUUAAUGCGACUAGACUAGACUCAUCGUCGGCAGAGGACUCUGGCUGGCUCCAAUAUAUGCCCCCACAAGCCGCUUUUGUUCCUUACACAUUUGUAUGUUGUCCACCUAUCAUUGGCCCAAAAAACUGGAGUAGUACCACAGCACGGACUAGGUCCAUUGCAUAUGGUCUAAAUAUUUUUGAGGGAUCUCAUCUUGUGUUUUCAGUCCAGAUAUUUGUGGGAAUGUUGCUGAUUUGGUCUUAUUGCCUAAUUUAUAUGUCUGGUUUAUACCUGUAAGGUUUACCUUAUUUUUUACGCUUUCCAGGUAUUACUAUAAAAUGUCACCCAUGAAUAAUGGGAAAUUAUUAUUGCCAGAGCAAUGAAAAGUAGAAACAACUUAUUGUAGCCAUGAUGGUUUGGACAGUUUUUGGAGACGGACCGAGAGCACCGUGGUACCCAUAGAUUCCGGCGACCGAUAUAUUUGAAUAAGCUAUUUCUAGUCCCCAACCGUUAGAAAACAUUUCGUGGAAUAAAUCAAAGGAGUGUCUAUAUUUUGCACGGGCAACCGAUUUUUUUUCUUGUUCCAAUCAUGACCGAUCGAAAAUGUAACAUGUUUCCAGACAACUAAAACCAAAUUGGCACAUCUAUUUUACGAAACCAAGACCGAAUGGAUCGACAAGCGGGUGCAUGUAAACGCGACACGGAAGCAAAAGCCACAUAGGAUCGUGUCAUUCUCCAUUGGUACGCGUAGCAGGCCGGUCCCCCAAAGCCUACACUACACACACCCUCCUUCUCUCUAGGGAGGAACUAGGAGAAAGAGACCCGGUGGUAGUGUUGGGUUGGAUGGACGUCGACGUGGACAGCUCUGUCUGAAAACCGCUGAUCAUCUUAAUUAGACUCUCCAGGACAUAUAUAAUCUCUUCCACUUUACACAAUAUCUUCACUAAAAAAAUUAGAAUAACAAAGAACAACGACCGAUUGCUGGUAAUCAACGUCCCCAUCAUCAUCAGAGUCCUUAAAAGAAAAUUAAGACGAGGCAUGCGAUGCAAAUUAAAUGUGGAAUCCAUCCCAGGCUAGUUCCCCAACUAACAUCACCAAGAAUCUCUUUCUCGCCCGAUAUAUCGCCACAGGUACCCUGAUACCUGUCGCGAGACGAGAUAUCGUUGGCCGUUGCGAUAUGGGGAACGAUGGGUGGCCUCGCAUCACUUCAGCCAGCUCCAUCGCUGUCUGAAUUUCUCUCUCUGUAGACAUGCAGCAUGAACAGACAGCAGGGCUGGGACUAUAUAAUUUGAUAUUGAUAGAAACGAUAACAAUAAUGAUACUAACAAUAUUGGGAAUAUGUCGCUGGCUGAAAGGGAUUGAUGGAUGGAUGGACGCAUAAACUCCUUUCUUUCUUUCUGACCUUUUCUUGUGGAUGGCUACUCCUGCCUAUAUUUCCUCCUCCGCCAUACACAUGCAAAAGUCUAGCCUCAGAUUUUUCCUUAUAUGCAGUAAUUUCUCCGUUCCAAAAUAAAUGAUUUGAAUUUGUAUCUGUACAAUCAUCUAUACAAAUUCAAGUCACUUAUUUUGGGACGGAGAAAGCACUCACCUAAGCUAAGAUCACCGAAAAAAUUCACAAACCUAAAUUUAUGUAGUGACUUAAUUGGCUGGGAUAAUAAUCGUCGCCGGUUUUCCUAGUUUUCGAAUUACCGGCAAUUUGCGUACAGAAAAUACUUGGAUAAAAGACCCUGAAGAAUAUUUCGUACGUAAACUUUAUGAACAGGCAGCUCCAUGUAUAUCCACAGAUGUAUUUGAUGGGGGUGAGUUGUCUGCAAGCAGAGGAUUGUUGGGUUUGGGACAGCGACGUAUCUGGCCCUCCCGCUUUGGAAAAGCCAUCAAAUGGAGCUUUCAAGGAACAAGGAGGAAACUAAUAAAGGAUUAGCUAUUCCUUUGUAGCCUUGUCGGUCCAGGGGCAGGCCCUCUCUCUCUAUAUAUAUUCCAUUCGAGCUGGAGUGUUAAAGCUAGACUGGAUAGAAAAGGCUUUCUCAUUUGCUUCCCAGAUUGUUUUAGUUUGGACAGUGACUAUCGUACACACAUGUAUAAUGCAGAAUUAUCAGCUUUGCAGGCAAUUUUUAUUCUUAUUUUUUAAAAUGAAUCCAAGUUUGGAUAACCAGGUAAUUCUCCAGACUCCUCCACAGGAGUACAUGUCAACCUUUUCUAGUCAUAUUCAAAGAUACAGCCAUCAAGAAGUCUCAACUCAUACUUUUCUUACCACUUUUUAAGAGGAAAGCUAGAAUAGAACGUUUGGAAAAAGGUCCCAUACUAGGCCAAGCCCAUAUGCUUUACAGCGCUAGGCUUAGAUUGGGCCAAUUUGCGUCCCAUGACUGGUUUAACUUAGGCCCAUCUGCCUCCCAGGUAAGCACAAUGCUAACAAGAAACUGGGCAAACAGGCGAUUCAGGACACUGAAGUGUCACAUUGACUAGACUAAAUAAGAGCACAGGUACCAUCACAUCAUUAUAAUGCCGAAGCUAUAGUAUCAGUUCUACGCUACAUAGUCAUUCUUUAAGAGGACAGCAAGAUAACGUAACAAGAGAAGAGGUUCAUACUGACGACAUGCAACUUGCUUGGACACAAAAUUCAGGCGCAAUCUCGUGAACAAUCGUCCGAUUCGUUCCACCCGAGCUUCUCUGGUAAUAGCCAUGUCUGGUGUCGCCACCAUGGUCUAGGUCACUAGCUCACUCGCACUUGAUGGAGCGGUAAAUGUGCCGCACAAAUAGCAGUGACGCACGGAAACCAACUGUGCCCAGCAUCAGGAAGAAACCGUAGCAGACACAGGUCAUGUAGCCGAAGAAGAAGGACGUUUGCAUGAAGCCUGACAUGUCUGACCGGGCAUGGUAGUAGUAGAUGCAGUAGAAGAAGAUGAAUAUGCCAGUGGAGCCUCCACAAAGGACAGAUCUGCAAAUAGAAGGAAAAACUUUCAUUCCACAGGCACAAACAAAAAACAUGUGAUGCAAGGAAGCAUUAGGUCUGAGUAAUAGAAUCCGAGAAUAUGGAACAUGGUUUCCUAAUAUGUAAUGUGUUUUCUCCUGAAGUGCCUCUCAAGUUCUGUUGUUUGUAGUAAGUGUUUUAUGUAUAACUAGAAGCAUUACUAUAGAUAACUUUCAAACACAAACAGUGGAUCUAUGCUCAUUGCUCAUUAUAGCAUAGUACUGAAUACUGAUCUAGCAUGCCAUGUACCAAAUAGUUGCUGAACUGCAUGUUUUUCUACAGUUUAAAUUUUGGUUUGGAUCUGUGGUCAUGAGCAAACAUAACAGAGAAGUAACCAAGUAAAUAUGACAAGAAACAAAAACAUUAACAUAUGAGGAUAAAAGCAUCAAGAUGAAUAAAUGUCCUGAACACUGACCUCCACCACCACUUGUGAUCCUCAACAGCAAGCUGGAAGUAUGUGAGGGCCACUGUGACAAACGCAGUGACGAUGAUGAGGAUAAUGAAGACAAUGAAGAGGAUGCUGUAGAUGGUGUAUAUCUUAUGCCCCCAGAUGCUGGCAAAUAUGUAGUACAGCUCAAUGUAAAUAGCACUGAAAGGGAGGAACCCUGCCAUUGCCAUCUGAGGAAUGGUGCUUCGGUACCAGGGCAGCUCAGGGAUUUCCCUAGGAUACUUGGUUGUGCGGCAGGGAGCUUGGAACUCUGUAUUGCUAUUUUUCCCAGCUAUACCACCUAGCACUAGCAGGGGAGAGGUUACAAGUGCCCAAAUGAGAAUAAUGACAAUGAUAGUACCGAAAGGCAAAGCUGCUGUGGCACUAUAUGCUAUUGCAACGGUGUUUAGGAAGGAGAAUGUCAAGAAAAGCGGGCCACAGAACAAGCAGCCAGUCAAUAUCAGAUUCCUCACCUGAAACAUAAAGGCAGAACAUGUCAAACACAGCACCAAAGACUUGAAGAAACCAACCAAUAAUGGAUGCCUUACCCAGUUUGUUCCUUCCAGCUGAAGAUAGAAGGAAGUGGCUGUGUAUCCAGCAAUACCAGAUGUAAGAGCGUAGAUGACAACAAGGGCAGUAAAAAGGGCUCCUCUGUUGUAUGGAUAGAAGACGCCAACAAUUGCAAGGAGAAAGAUGAAAAUUGCACUAUCGAACAAGAAGAAUUUGUUACUUGUUAGAUCAUUACAACAUAGUUUAGAUCAUAGAUUAAACAGACCCAGUAAGUUCUUACAGGGCAAGAAGCUGAGAACCAGAUCCAAUAAUCGCUGCAAAAAGAGAUUUUUGCUGCGGAAAACGGAAGACGUCACCAUGUAUAUACUUCCAUCCAGUCUCUUCCUGGUCUUCAAGGGACUCAUCUUCAUGGGAAUAUCUUCAACAAAAGUGAGGCAUUAAGAAUGAUGUUAGUAAAGCUGUACAAUCCAUGCAACAACAAUGGAAUGUAUUGAUUAAGGUCUUACUUGAUGAAAUCGUUCUUGAGCACACGCAUCAGGAUUGUUGCCAGAAAGCCAGUCAGGAGAAGUACAGUUACACAUGAGUUGAUGAUGGAAAACCAAUGGAUCUCUAGGUGUUGCGGCAUAGAGGAAGACUUGGAGUAUUUUUCCAUUCUUUUCUCAAAAGGAAUAUCCGUCUUUUUCCAUGCUACUGAAUAAGAGAAUUCUACUGGUACUUCCUUGUCCUCUGUGAUAUCUACAGCCACAUUCGGGUCUGUUUGGACAUUAAUUUCUACGACACGGUCAUUGUUGUACAUGAUGUCAAAGUGGAUGUGCUUAAAAAGAAGGUACUUUCCAGCCCCUUGCUCCUUAUCCUUCUCCAGUUUACCAAGGAAUCCCCAUAAUGGCAGGUCAUCAUAGUACAUCUGGAAGUAGUAAUCCUUUGCAACUGCAUCCCGGAGCUUGGCAACUUCCUCCUUGGACAAUGUUUUCUUGCAGAGAGUCUUGGAGUUCUUAUCUUCCUUAAAGUUCAACUCGUAUGGUGCAUCAACCAACCGAUCACCGUUUAGAACCUCCCCGAGAGCCUCCUUUUUGUCCUUCGGGUGUUCUAUUACAGGCCCAGCAGCAGUUAAUAAGAAAGAGAAAUGACUUGGGCAUAAACCAACAAAGAGAUUGCUAAAUAAAGCAAGUAACAUAAAGGCAUGCGGCAUUAGAAGAAAGCUCACAAACCUGGUGCACAAAAGGGUAGAUCAUAGUAGCGGUAUGUCUCACUGCAACACACAAAGAGUAACUCAAUUAUUGAUCUAAAGAAAAGUAAAUCAAUUUUAACAAGUGCCGAUUAAGUAACAGAACAUGGUUGCAGUCCUAUUGUAGAAUUGUUUUUUGAUGUACUUGAAUUGUGACUCGAAAAAAAAAGAGGUACUUGAAUUUUGAAAUACUGAAAUUACCGUACAGUUCAUGUGGCGUUUUUGUCAGGCCAGCAGAGAGCUACUUUGGGUAUGAUAGAGCUAUCCAUACUAUUUACUACUCCCUCCGAUCCAUAAUAAGUGUCACGUUGUACUAUAUCAGCGACACUUAUUAUGGAUCGGAGGUAGUAUCGUGCAAGUGAAUUACAGAACUUAUGUACCAACUACUCUAGCUCCCUCUCCUGGCACUGACAAACCCCGCACUUGCAGACUUUGGCAACUCAUAGCUACAAGUAACACCCACCGCCAGAAAUGCUUAGAAUCAAUUUAGCAGUAACACCAUUCCAACUUAACCACAGUUACCGGCAAAAACACCAAACCAAGUCCUAAGUCCUAACUCAUCCAUCUCUACCCAGACAAUGUACUCUUCACACAGUGCAAGGGCGAGACAACCGACAUGAACUACAAAUCGCAAGAGUAAAGACAACAGACAAACGUCGAUCCCUGGUUGCCGAGCACCGCAGCAGAAUUAUACCUUGGGUUGUGGAAAGGGCCGACCUUGUUGGCGUAGAGCGGGACACGAUCUCCCUCCUUGUACCGGUGGUCGGAGCCGUCGGCAGCAGCCCCCAGCAGCACACAGGCCAGAACCGCCACCGCAAGAGCAGCAAUCGCUCUCGCCAUCUCUUCCUCAGCCAGCACCUACCACGACCCCGAGUUCCAAAGGGCGGCGGAUCUAAGAUGACGCGCCCCGAAAUUCCGAGGAGGUCAGUUCGGGUUUAAGAAAUCAGUGGAGGAGGAUGAGUAAAACGAGCUCGUACCUCAAGGAGACCCAGCCAAAGGCCCGAGAUUGCGGACGGACGGGGCGGCGGAGAGACGGCAGGGGGGCCGCGAUCUCGCGACGAGGCAGGACGGGGGACGGUGAGGAGGCACCGGCGGUGACACUAGGAAGAGUUGCGGCGUCGGCUGGUGGCGGCGGAGCGGCGAAGGGGCUAAAGGGGAGAAUUUAGAGCCGCAUUGGGGGAGAGGGAUCGGAGCUCGGGUAGGUCAAACCAUGAGAGGGAGGAGAGUCGGAAGGUGCGUGCGAGAGAAUGCGAGAUGGCGGAGAGGAAAAAACGCCGUGGAGGAGAUGACGUUUUUGACUAGGGAUCGGAGAAUUGACGAGUACAGUACAGAUUUGGUAACAUAUAAAACGAGAAAUAAAAAUAAAUACUGUAUAUAAACUUGCUCGACAAAAUAAUAGUACUUUCUCCGUCCCAAAAUAAGUGAGUCACCACAUUUUAUUAGCUUAGUCCGAGUGAAAUAUUGACUUGCAAGUACUCCAUCCGUCACAUAUUAAAUGUCACGACUCUGUCUAAAUAUGCAUGUAGUGUCUAGAUACAUGUGUAUUUAGAAAAAGUUGCGACACUUAAUAUGAGACAGAAAAAGUACUAUUAUUUAAGCAUUAAAGACUAUUGUUACUUAAGUUGACAAUUAAUCUAAUACUAGCAGUGUUAUCUCUUAUGUAAAUUUUUGGCGAUUAAAUUGAUAACACGUGGUUUUUUUUUAUCGGGAUUACACGUGGUUAUUGUGACACAAAAGUGGUAGCACUGGUUUGUAUAAGAAAUAUUUUUUCAAUGGUAUAAUAGAGCAUAUAUUUUUUCUGUGCCUAUUUGUUGGUCAAAGUUCAGCAUAAGUUCAUUCCAGAGUAUUUUGCAACAAAGUAUUACACAAAUUAGGUAUUCCAUCGAGAUGACUUUUGUUUUGCAGGACGGCAUUCAAAUUCCAUCUUAUCGGACGGUACAUCAUUUAAGCUAUUCAAGAGGUUGUUUCCGGUGCCAGGAAUUAUUACCGUAUUUAAUUGUGCUGGCACGAACGUUCUUUAGUUGUGUGUGUCAUUGUAACCGAAUUAGGCUUGAACAUCAAGGUGAAAACAAAAGAUCUCAAUAAAAGUGCACAUAUGACUACUUUCUUUGUUACUAAAUAUAAGACGUCUUAGUUUUGUCCUAAGUCAAACUUCUUCAAGUUUGACCAUGUUCUUUAGUUGUGUGUGUCAUCGUAACCGAAUUAGGCUUGAACACCAGGGUGAAAACAAAAUAUCUCAAUAAAAGUGCACAUAUAACUACUUCCUUUGUUACUAAAUAUAAGAAGUCUUAGUUUUGUCCUAAGUCAAACUUCUUCAAGUUUGACCAUGUUUAUAGUAAAAUCUACUAAGAUUUAGAAUAUCAAAUAAAUACUAUGAAAAUAUAUAUCAUGGUAGAUUUGAUAAAACUAUUUCAGAGUUGUAGAUGUUGCUAGAUUUAUUUUCUAUAAACCUGAUCAAAUUUGAAAAGGUUUGAGUUAGACAAAGUUUGGAUUUUUACUUUUAGGAGUAGUAAACAAAGUGCACCAAGAGACGCUUCUCUCCCUACGUACCAUCCAGUGCACACCACACCCAUAUAGCGAGAAAGUGUAGGUGGAGAUUCAGAGUCAGCGAUGUGGUUAUUUGAGUCUUUGAGGAGAAGCUCUGAAAGAUUUAGUAGCUCAGAGGUCAUAAAAGGACAAAUAAUGGAAAUAUGUAUAGGUGUAUUUUUCCAUUAACUUACUUUUAUCAUGGAGUUUGGCAGGUUUGCAUCCAAAUUGUAGCUGACCGUUUGACACGAUGGGAAAGUUUACCUACUCCCUCCGUCCAACAAAAGAUGUCUCAAGUUUGUCAAAAUUUGAAUGUUACACAUGACUUAGUGUAUAGAUGCAUUCAAAUUUAGUCAAAAUCAAUACAUCUUUUGUUAGACAGAGGAAGUAAAACAAUUUUGUGUCGUUAGAAAAACACACAAGUGCAGUGAAGUCGAAGCCUAGAUAGAUUACAAAAUAGUCAAAUUGCAUAUCAGGGUCAAUCAAUCUGCUUACCGCUUGAUCUAGACAUUCAAAAUCAGAAAAAGUCAAACAAGACGUGCAAUAUACAAUUAGAGAUGUCAGUACGGCGUGUAUGCCAUCAUUGCCAUGCAUGCGUGUAAACAAAUUCAAGUACUCUUCCCUAGAACCGAUUCGAGAUAAUACAUACUACUCCUGUACGUUUGCAUGCUAGUAGUAGUAAGCAUGUAGAAACAUGCAUAUCAAGUACUGGUAGUGCUGCAUGCUAAGUAAAUGUUGCCAUUGUCAUAUACCACUGCAUCCUACGGAGUACUAUUUUCGCCAUCAUGGCUUGGGUUCAAUAAUCCUCACAGCCGUGUUAAUGAAUUGCACGACGUAACUUAAGAUACGACACAAAAGAGAUAUUGUCACAUUUAUAUUGGAAAACUCUAUCUAAUGGUAUAAUUUUUAUAUACAUAUCUUCAAUGUAUUUUUUAUAAAAGUUUGGCACAAAACCCAACAGAGACCUUAUAAAUCCCAACAGAGAUAGUAUUUCUGUUCCGAAUUAAAUGACAUUUUCGAAACUAAUUUAAUUAUUCAAAACUUCAUUUAAUUCGAUGCAUGUGGAUCCCACAUAUCUGCAAGAGUGACCUUUCUAGGCCAACCUUCAAUUCUUCAAGCCAAAUUUCGAACAAAUUGUUUGAACCAGAUAGCUGAAAGCGGGACAUAACCGACGUCCUGCGCUUGCAUCCCUAGAUAUGUUAAUUCUGAUAGUGAAAACAGAAAACAGAAGCAAGGACUAACUAAAUGGAUUGAGAUUGAGCUAGCCAUGUCCCGCGAUUCAUGGAGGAACACGUGCCUUUGCACCUCCAAAACAAAACUACGAAAGUGUGUUAUCAAAAGGCUAAUUGGAGUGUCAGCCACGACAAAGUGGGCAAAAAAAAAAGGAGAGACAUAUGAGAGCGACCAUGCAAAGAGAUUGCACCGCUGGUAAUAUUAGCCAUCUGUUGGACGCACUGGCAAACAAGCAAGCAAGCAACGUGCAGAGAUCCUAGUCGUGCCAGCCUCAACCAAAGAAGAGCUUAGCGAGCUAGCAUCCAUGAUCUGUUCCUCUCCUUUGCUACCGUCACUCCUCAUCUCCUACACAUGGAUGACAUGUUACUUUUGCUUGCCUUUUCUUCUUUCAGCCCCUACCAGCUCCACACAGAAUGUGCCAGGUGGGUUAAUUAGUUUUGACCUUUGACUAUUGAAAGCUAAGGUUAAGCUCCACAAACCCAACACUCUCGCCGUUUUGAAACAUGGUCGGAUUAAUUUACGUAAUACAAGCAUAUAUUAUAUUUCUAUGUUGUUAACGAUUGCGAAAAAGUAGAAGCUCUGUGUCAUCGUCCAUCGGGUCAGCUAGCGAUCAUUCCAUCGUUCAACAUGACCGAUCGAUCAUUAGCAAGGAAUUACAUCGAUCUCUGUUUCUCUAAAAGACAUGUUGAAUUAGCAUUGCAUCUUUACUGAUGUGUUUCACAAAAGAUGGCUAAGACUGUUUGUUCCUCCUCCCCGGUUGCUCAAGAAAGUCAGAGCAGGAGGAACAAAUGUCCUAAACCAUCCCACGUGAGGUCCUUGUCUAUUCCAAAUCUCCCUCUAAGACCAUUUCAAAGCAACACUUAUUAAGAUUUCGCAAAAGGGAGAAAAUAAAUAAAUUCCAUUAAUGUUUUGUUCGAUUUCAUAAAUGACAAAUCUCAUCAAGGUCUUACUAUCAAUGUUCCAUCCCUGUUUCAAAAAAAAAAUGUGGUCUCAAUCCCAUCACGACUCUCGAGUGCGACAUGGAUUGCGAUCCACAGAGUUGUUUUUAGCAGCAUUUCCACAUCAAAUAAAGAUAGACAAAGAAAGAAGGAUAAAGAUAAUACCUGCGAGCCAGGUGGAUCACGCGGCCCCACAUGUCGGCCCCACGUGACACGCCGGCCUGCCUGAUGGCGCGUAGUAGUAGCUAUUUUCUGCAAAAGCAAAAGCGUGGAUUUUGGGCGGAGGGAUCGUCCGUCGUCCCCAAUAAUGCCGUGACAAGCAGCCAACGAACGCCUCUUUCCGAGAUCUCAUCCCCCACCUUGUCUCUUUCCCCUUCCUCCCCAGCGAAUCACAAUCGCCCCUUCUUGACCCCUUCCAAUUCCGAUCCCGUUUCGCGACAAGCCACCGCUUUCUUGGCUGGUUCUUCCGGAUUGGAGACAAAAAAGCCGCCGCCGCUGCUGCUCCUGCCAUUGCUGCUGCUUCCUGGCGUGAUUGGGACUAAAAGAGGCAACCAGGGCUCGAUUCGAGGCAAGCUUGUUUUCGGAUCCAGGGCGGGAAGGGACUGGAUUGGCGGUGUGUUGUCGGUCUUGUUGUUGUUGUUGUUGUUGUUGUUGCUGUUCUUGGCAUGAGCGUAGGGGAAGAUGGGGCUGGACUACUACAACGUGCUCAAGGUGAACCGGGGCGCCACGGAGGACGACCUCAAGAAGUCGUACCGGCGGCUGGCCAUGAAGUGGCACCCCGACAAGAACCCCGGCGACAACAAGGGAGAGGCCGAGGCCAAGUUCAAGAAGAUCUCCGAGGCCUACGAGGUAUAUAUCAUAUGGGCACUGUAUAAUUAAUUUGUUGCAGCUAAACCUGAAUGAUUUACAAUGCUAAUCCUUCUUGGAAAUGCGCCGUGCGAAAUAAAUUUAGCAGCAAAUGAUAGCAUCUGUUUCGUCGUGCGAUUCAGAAAAUGUUUCUGAUGAUGCAAAAUCGGAGGGAAUCCUCUUUUUUUCUUUUUGCAAUCAUGUCGUUUAUUGCACAUUGCGUUUCAGGUUAUGUCAACCUGGAUUUUUGCAGGCACACAAAAAAUGUUGUGCCUGCUUUCAAGGUUCAUAUGUAUAUGUUUAGACAGUUCAAGAAAUCUGUGAUUAGUUCUUUUGUUCUGAAGAAUGCUGCUCAAAUUGCUGAAUUUUGUGACCAAUGUCUAUUGCCUUUCAGGUUCUGAGUGAUCCUCAGAAGAGAGCGAUAUAUGAUCAGUACGGGGAGGAGGGCCUGAAGGCAUCUGCAGACAACGGUGGCUCGUCAUCGUCAUCGAUGAAUGGCACCGCUAACCACCGUUUUAAUCCCCGGAAUGCCGAGGAUGUGUUCGCUGAGUUCUUCGGUAGCAGCAAGCCUUUUGAGGGGAUGGGGCGUGCCAAGUCGAUGAGAUUCCAGACAGAAGGCGCUGGCACCUUUGGUGGGUUCGGUGGUGGUAAUGACAGCAAAUACAGAUCAUACAAUGAUUCCGCUGGCACCAGCUCUAGCCAGCCCCGGAAGCCACCAGCUGUGGAGACGAAGCUGUCCUGCACGCUUCAAGAGCUAUACUCUGGUUCAACGCGCAAGAUGAAGAUAUCUAGGAACGUGGUGAAGCCUAAUGGGUAAUCCCACUGUUUCCUGUGAAAUUCCUGCAAGAUUUCAAUGAAUCCCUGCUUUCCAAACUGGAAGUACAUUGAGAUGUCAAGAACAUGACGAUUGAUGCAUUGCCAUUUCGUUUCUGUCCCAAAAUGCAUUUUACUUACCUGCUGAUUUUUUAACAGGCAACUGGGGACUGAAUCCGAGAUUCUGACGAUCGAUAUAAAGCCCGGGUGGAAGAAAGGGACCAAGAUCACAUUCCCAGACAAGGGCAAUGAGCAGCCAAACCAGCUCCCUGCAGAUCUCAUCUUCGUCAUCGAUGAGAAACCCCAUGAUCAGUACACAAGGGAAGGCAACGACCUCCUGGUCUAUCAGAAGAUUGACCUGGUGGAUGCAUUGGCAGGAACCACGGUUAACCUGAAGACCCUUGACGGGCGUGAUCUGGUGAUAAAGCUGACAGACGUGGUGACACCAGGGUAUGAGCUUGCAAUCGCAAAGGAGGGGAUGCCUAUCGUCAAAGAGAACGGGAGGAGAGGAAAUCUGAGGAUCAGGUUCGACGUUGAUUUCCCAAAGAGGUUGUCAUCGGAGCAGCGGCAGAAUAUUAGGAAGGUUCUUGGAGGGCAACCUUAGCAGCAAUGAUCAAACCCCGGAUGCAAAUUCAGCUACCCUCUAGUUCUCCACGAAAUGCAGACUAAUUCAGAUGUUCUUCUUUUUCAGUUGGCUUGUAUGUCUAGUUACUUUUGGUUUGCAGGAAUUUCCUGAUUUGCUCCUUUGUUGACAAGAUAGCAAUAUUAAUUGUUGACUAGAUACAGAUUACAGUGUGACAUUGAAUUUUUUUUUUCACCUCUUCUAUUGCAUGUUUCAACAUUCAUUUGCAAAUAUAACAGAUUUCGAUCUCUUGCCUUUUGUGAAUUGUCAUGCUCUUUGAAGUAAAAAUAUUCUGAGUAAUGCCGAGCGCUCAAAUUUGAAAACAUUGCCAAAUUUGUUUUUGAUCAGUAGGAUGGCGGUUUAGUUCAUCAUCUUCCAACAAAUCUCUCCUAUUUCAAAUUCGACUUCAACCGAUAAAUAUGAAUCAAAUCACACCAGCAAAUCCAUACCCUUGAUAACCCAUACAAUUCAAAAGAAAAGUGUCAUGCCACGGUGGGGGAACUUUGGGUUAGACGGACCAACUUUUACAUAGAUUUAGGCUAAUUUGGAGAGACAAAUAGGCUAAGUACUUCAACAAAUGUUUUAAGGUGAAGGAGCAUCAAAUCUCUACUUAUAAGCAUUAACAUUGCGCAACUCAAAAAAAUACGUAUUGCAAUUAGAGACAAGUGGAUCCAGACAUGUUUCUGAAAUUUGGUUUGAACAUAAAUUUGAAACCUAUCAAACAUUUCUCACCCAGCACAGACCUUACCCACCUAUUCGUAAAUAGCAACGGCCUCGCUUGAAAAACGGGCCCCACCCUCUUCCUCCCUACAAAAAAAACGACACUUUUCGCGGUUCCCUUUCCAAGCCGUAAUUUUUUUCGCGCGCCCGCCGAAACCACCGCGUCCGGGAGCCGUCGGAUCGCGAAACGGACGGUGUUCGAUCGAUGAAGCAGGCGGAGGAGAACUCGGCGGCGGCCGCCGGCGCCGCCCAGGAGCCGCCAACGCCGACGCCGACGGUGUGGUACGACCCGAUGUCCCCGACGUCGUCUCCGACGGCGCCACGGCCGCCCGUCAGGGUUUACGCCGACGGCAUCUACGAUCUCUUCCACUUCGGCCAUGCCCGCGCGCUCGAGCAGGCCAAGAAAUCGUGAGCCCCGUUGGACCCUCUUCUCAAUCACGAUUUCCUUUCUUGUUUCUUUCUCUGAAAGCAUUGACAACAUUGUUUCUGAAUUUCUGACACCAAUUUCUGAAUCUCUGGCAUGGAUUUGUUGUCUUCGUCAGAUUCCCCAACACGUACUUGCUGGUGGGCUGCUGCAGCGACGAGGUGACCAACUGGUACAAAGGCAAGACCGUCAUGACCGAGGAGGAGCGCUACGAAUCGCUUCGCCAUUGCAAGCAAGCAACCUUCUGUUUUCUACUUUACCUCCUCCGUUUCUGAAUUUUACCUUUUGUUCUUAUUACUGUCCCAUUUCUGAAUCUUGUUGAAGAUGGGUGGACGAGGUCAUACCCGAUGCUCCAUGGGUCAUCGACGAGGAGUUCCUCGACAAGCACCGCAUCGACUACGUUGCUCACGACGCUCUCCCGUGAGUGUGUACAUACUAUAUUUAUGCAGCAUUGCAUAUUUCAAAUCAAUCUAUGUAUCUAAUAUAGAUGACAGGUGUUCGAGAAACAAAAAUCUAUGACUCUGUGUUUUGUUGAUCAGUUUGUGAAAAGUGUAAUUGACUCACUUCAUGUGAUUUGUUUUCAGGUAUGCAGACGCAAGUGGAGCUGCCAACGAUGUCUAUGAUUUUGUUAGAAUUGAAUAUCUGAAUCCCCUCCUCAUUUUUUUUUUGGACUAAGCAAUGCUGAUGGUCAGCUAACUGGAAAAUGUGUUGUUUGGGCAGGUCAAGUCCAUUGGCAAGUUCAAGGAGACGAAGCGCACCGAUGGCAUCUCAACAUCGGACAUCAUCAUGAGGAUUUUGAAGGAUUACAACCAGUACAUCAUGCGGAAUCUGACCCGGGGGUACUCCCGCAAAGACCUUGGUGUGAGCUAUGUCAAGGUGAUCAUCAGUUCCAGCAGUAACAUCUCCCAAAGCAAAGGAAGGACACCAAGCACUAAUGAAUUACGUGUUUUCUAUUACUGUAAUGUGAUCAGGAGAAGCAAUUGAGAGUGAACAUGGGGAUUAGCAAGCUAAAAGAGAAGGUGAAGGAGCAUCAAGAGAAGGUGAUCCAAGUUACUCUACAAACCCCAAAAAAAUUCGGCAUAGAUCUUCACAUGAUUUUGCAAAUGAUAGUGAUAGUAACUUGGUAACGCAUAUGCAGAUUCAUAGUGCAGCAAAGAUUGCUGGAAGCAAUCCUGUGGAAUGGAUGGAGAAUGCCGACCGUUGUAUCGUUGGGUUUCUUGAAAAGUUUGAGGAAGGUUGCCACAUGAUGGUAAGCAAGUCUUUGAUUAAUUUAAUUUAUCCGCAGUUGUCAAUACAGUAUUUGGUGAUUAUGGAUCGUGUUAUUUAUUUGACAGGAAACUGCAAUUAAAGAUCGAAUUCAGGAGGGGCUGAAGAGGAGAUCCAAAUCAGAGUCGGAGCUGAACCUUUCUGGAUCGGACUCGGACUCAUAAAGAUGUUUGUGGGAAUCAGAUUCCUGCAGUAAAUGUAUAGUAUUAGAUUAGCAUGUUGUUAUAGCCUUGUAAGACAUCAAACUGCAACGGUGGUUUAUAAUAGGAGGUUAUGUACCAUUGAGAACAAUAAUUUUUUGCGGUGACCGAUCAGUCUCUGUUUCUUAAAGAUUGCUCAUUUGCAUUUUGCCUCCUAAAUGACAUUAUUCCUCUGAGAAACUUGGAUUUGCAGUACAUGAUCUCAUUCUUGUGAUUAUGUUUGUCAAUGGCCAUGUGUUAUUUUUAUUUAUUUCUUUUCGAGGAACCGGCAGGAUAGAAGUUAUUUACAGUGCUGCCUUUUCAUUAAGAAUGAUAGAAGUUAUUUACAGUGAGGAGCAGGUUUUUUGAGGGGAAAUGCCGAGGAAACCCCAACGAGAACAAGAAAAAACUAGUCGGGCUGUAGCACUGUGUGAUGUCCUCGAAGCUCGCAGGCAAGAUGAGUGACUUCGACCUAAUUGAGAAGCUUAAGAGUGAAAAUGCGACAGUUCGCUCCUUCCUGGCUUUCCACCAGACGUAGAUAAGUCAACCACUUUGCUUCCUCUUAAUGUCCUUGCCAGAAAGGAAAAGGGAGGCGUCCCACCACUCCUCUGAUUGCUUCUCCUGAAUAAGAUCAUGUGUAAUUUUAUUGGCCAUGUGCUAUUGCCACCAACUAAAUAUCAUUCAUAUACUUCUCCCUUUUCUUUCAGCUACCAUGAUAUAGUUUUCAGGGUAGUAUUGGUUAUACACUUAUACAUGAAGAUGCAAUUGGUAGCGGUUCGUCAGAUUUAGAUAAGCUGGAGCUAGCCUAUUUGCAGAACCCAAUGUUACAAUAAUGUAUUUUUAGCAACCAAGAACUAAAUUUAACACAUGCACAUGGAGAAUUCUGUUGAUUCAGAAACACCUAACGAAAAUAAUAUUUGUUAUCCUGAGUCAUACUCCUAGUAUACCAUCAAAACAAUUUCCCCUCUACAUACGAAUACUAGAAACGGAAGCUAGCUAUUUUCUAAUCUUGCCACCAACAAUUCGGUCCUGAUACUACAGUAUCACAUAAAACUUUGAUCAUCAUACAACACAACUCAAGAAAUUAAGCAGAAACAGUUCAUUGUCAUUCACCCUGGACUUCCUGUUUUACAUAAUGAUUUGAUUAUUUGGGAAACUGUUGUCUUCAAUGAUUUCACUGUCUCAUUGUCAGUUCUUCACCUAUGCCCUCUGAAAUACAUGUAUACUCCCUGCAAAACAGUAGAUUUGGAAGGAUGUCAUGAAACCACAGAAACUGUAGGAUGUCAUGUAUGUUCACUAAUUGCGCAUGUAAUAAUAUGGUAAAGGCACAACAAAAGCUGAUCAUUUCUGGUAGUCGAGGAGCCAUACUAGAAAGCAAGGAAACAACAAAAGUUUCUAGGCAUAUUCUUUUUUAGUUCCUCUCAAAAAAAUUGUUUUUCUUUGUUGAGCUUGCAACCAAGUGAACUUAUAAGAGUGAUAGUACAAACAAAGAGAAGAUGUUCCAUGAAAACAACAAUGUGAAAGAAAUGAAAGGUGGAACCGACAAUAACCUCAAGAACCCAAAUACUCAUAAGCGAUUCCGCAGUAAAUAAUAUGAAUCCAAUUAGAUACAGUACCUGCAUUACUCCAAAAAGGACACAAUUAAGGACUCACGGCAAGUUUUAGUGCUGAAGUAAAAUAUGUUCAAAGUUAACCAUAAUAGCGCAGAAGAACUAACCCCGACGAACAUAUCUCCGCUUAAAACAUCGAUAGCAACAAGAAUUCCCCUGAUUUCAGGUAAAGAACUGUAUCGAACUAUUGCAGUUGGAAACUUUGGCAAAAUGAAAAAUGCUUGACUUACGUAAGAGUUUUUCCCAUGAAUAUUAUUGGAGGAGCAAUUGCAGCAAUGACACAAAAUCCAACAUGCACCUGGCACAUAUCAAGCCAUCACUAUGCUCACCAGUGCAUUACCAUAGGAUCAAACAUAAAGAUAGAAAAAUGCAAUAGGGUUAUCUUUUUAGUUGAAGGUUAUUAGCAUGUGGAACUCAGCUCGGUGUAUAAAUAGAAGUACCGAGUAGAAGAUGAAAAACUGGCCAAAGGUCACCACGCUAUCGGUUCUGGUGUACAAAGGUAAGAUAAUUUUGUUACCAUAUUGGCAUUCUCAUAGAGCAUUUCCAGAUAAUGGUAAUUUACUUGGAAUUUUAAUUGAAAAGAAACCUCAUGGCCUGGUACAGAGGCCUGUACCAUAGUAUGUAUGAAAGAGGACAUCCAAAUAUUGCAUAGAUGACGGCAAGGAGAAAAAGAACAAUAUCUGCCAUAAAAAGGAGACAUGAUGUAAAAUAUGCAUGCUUAAGAAAAUGGUUUAUCUGGCAAGAUAUUUAGCACCUUCCAUGUGAAUUGAUUCGACUAAAACUGCAAAGACAUUCCAACUGAGACAGACAACAAUUCCUGCAAGAAGAGCAGCCGAUGAACAGGAGCUGAACUGAUGAUACUUCGUUCUUAUCUAUGUUGAAAACUAUCAGCAAUAAUCUCAAUUAAUAGGAGAAAACUGAUGUAAGGGUAAAAACCUAGCCAACUAGCAAAUGCUGAGUACUGCAACUUUUGAGCAUGGAUGGGUAUUUCAUUGGCUAUAUCAUGAUGUAUGAUGGGGAAGAACGGUGGCCAAUUUUUCACUUCGACCAUGACACCGGCUGCACAACCAGAUGUAUAUUUCAGAAUUCAGACAAAACGUGAAAGCAUGAUGGAUUUAUCUUAUGAUGCUCUCUUAGGACUACCUCUGUUCAUUGUAUUCUCCCUUUGUAUGAUAUCCUGCAACAAAAGUCACACUUCUGAUUCUGAAAACUCUUUGAGGACUCACUUUCAUAAAUUUGUUGACUAGAAAGACAAUAAUUAUUGGACAUAUGAAGCAACCCAAAUGAACAUAUGACACUCUAAGAUUACGAAAUAAUUGUGGAAGUGAAUCUAUAGGAUUUCUAAUUAAGUGAAAAGGAGAACGGACCCGCUCUCUCCUCUUCAAAUCCUCCUCCCACGAUAAGAGCUCUUUCUCCCGCUUCCUCGGAUCCUACAUGAAUUAGGAUUAUCAUUAGGUGUACCAAGAACACAAUAUUAUCUUGUGUAUGAACAAUGUAUACAUAUAGUGGGAUGUCGAUGGUGGCGCCAUGGUUAAUGCUGCCUCCAAAGCCCGCCGGGAUCCAGGAUUUCUUCGAUGGAGCUGGUGCCAAUGCCUGUCCAUUAUGAAAUACAAACGAUAUGUCCCAAGAAAAUAACAAUCAACUGUCAUCAUGAUUCUUCACAAAAAAUGACACUGAAAUAACACCCCGCUUAAACUCAGGCUGCAUACUGAACUACAUGAGAGUUGGAUUGUUCUAUUAGUAUGCAUAGAAAAUGAUCAGAUCAGAUAAGUCCAAUGGAAAAUCAAGAUAUAAAAGUUGAAUAAUUUGAUCUAAUCUCAAUAAAUCUAUCCAAAGAAACCUCGCAAGCAGACCAGAAUGCAAAACGAUUCAGAGCAUUUUGUUCUUCUAAGAAAUUCAAUCCAGACAGUCUCGAUACAGAGAUCAUCAGAACGCAUGGGUCUUUUUUUUAACCAAAGUUAAUCUGGACAUGAGAAACAAUGCUCCAAAGAGAAAUGUCUCAUCAAAAGACAAAUAAUUUGAACCCCAAAUAAGAAGAAGAAACAUGUAAAGUCUGGAAUACCGCUGUAGGAUUGACAUUUUCGUCUUCAAACGGAUUUGUGUUACGAGACAUCAUUAGGAAGAUCCCUCGGCAUGAAUAAAUCCCUGUGUUGUCUACCUUUGGGAUGAGCCGAAAUCUGUGCUGCAAUAAAUCUGUGCAUGGCCAACGAAAGGAAGUUAGUUAUUUUCAGUUAAUGCUGGCCGUCUAGCGCUUUGGUCCUUAUUGGUUGUUACAUUCCAAUACCAUCAGCCCCUCGUUUUAUUACGUUUUACCUUUUUUAUCCCUUCUUCCUCUCAUUUUGGAAAGUGUAGGAAUUCUUACAGAACUGUUGAUUCGUAAUCUCACAGAAUUCACGAAAAAUCCUGGGUUGUUAGUUUUGUCUUUUAAGCAGUUUAGUACAUGCACGUUAUAGACUGUAAGAAAUCAGAACAGAAAGAAACACAGUAGGCCUGCGAAGUGGAAUUUGAUGGAGCUGAAGAGACAGAAUCAAUUUCAUGCCCCGUUAAACAUAACAACUGCAUCCAGUAUCCACAUUGCAGUGAGCUCGAUACAGAAAAUGCAUUGAUUCAGAAAUGAGACAAAUGCCGUCUAUAGAAGAUCAAUCUGAAGUUAACGCGGCGUUAUUAUGCCAUACACAGUAGGAGGAAUUUUCACAGAUAACACUUUGCUAUCAAGCGUAAUACACAAUACACUGGCAGACAUUGUAAACCAAAUAAGGAGGCAACAAAUCCAAAUUUCUGCAGUAUCUUCUCUAUUUAGUGAUGGUGGUCUUGAACAUAGCGAAGACCACAGUAUUUGCACACAGCAGGGGCCUCCAGAUCAAGGCAGAUAUACUCGAUUGGAUGGCCAAGGGCAGGGUUACUAUCUGUAUAUAUAAUCCAAAUGGAAACAGUCAGCCUUGCAGAAAAUGAAUGCCCAUGACUCCAUGGGUGAGUAUAUUAAUAUAUGUAGCAAGCGAAAAAGGGACCGAAGCACGGUAAUGAGAAUUUGUAAAAAAAAAAAAAAAAAAGCAGGCUAGAGUUUGCUUUCGCCUACCCCCUUCACAAGCGACAAUUCGCCCUUCAACCUUGAUCGGCGGCACCUCAUUGAUCAGUUCCAUCGGAGAUUUCUUGCUUGUGUCCUGCGAUAAAUAAAAUCAGAGAGGAUCAAAAAUUAUAAACACUCCUUUCAAAAGAAAAAUUAUAAACACUGGCAAUAUAAUGAGUGACAAAAAAUAUCACUGUCUUCAACCAAUAAAGCUCACAAAUUAGGUAGUUGUGCAACUUAAGUUGUGAAUAUCACACGACAAACUCAUGCCAACUACCUGGUAUAUUGGUAUAAGUACAAAUUCUGCUAUCUUUGAGGAUAUGGGAAUCCCAAAGCUAAGAAUUGACUUUCAGGCAUCACUUUUUGACAGCGCAAGGAAUAUUGGUCUUUACUCAGUUCAACAAUUGACCUCUCAUAUAUUAUUGCUGCAGUAGCCACUUGCUAUAGUAGUUCCCAGAAAAGCCUCAAAAUGAUACACGUCGUUUAAGUUUUACUCAGUGAAUAGGCGAAAACCAAAAUCGAUACUGUCCAAGUAUGGUAGGAUGGUGUUGGACUACUGGGCUGCUGGCUGUGACAUUAUUGUAACAGAAAUACAAUUGGAAGAUUAUUCAGAUACAUCAUAAGCUCUUGCAUACAUUCUUAUCUGUAACCUAUGACAUGAAAUGAGGAGAAAACGGUUUCACUUGAUCAACAAGGUCGAUAUAACAAAUUGUUAGAAGGGAGGUCCAGCCAUAAGUCGGUAAAACAUCUGUAACCUAUGACAUGAAGAAAUGAAGUAAUACAAAAAGGAAAAGAAAGAGAAAACAAAAAUCAUGAUCAACUAAGCCCUCUCGAGGGCUUGCUUAAGAAUAAGAAAGAAGAAUCUUAUGGAAAUGGAAUAAGGUUUGAUCCUAUUCAUGGGGAUUCCGUAAAUAUGCCAUUCCAAAAAUAGAAACAAUCGGGACUUUUCGGAGAUUGGAUGCAGUUACUAAUUCAUGAUCUGGCAUGUACAGAAUGAAAACUUCAUUCUCGAUUCUACGAGAAUUUUUAUGAAAGCGCUUCAUUUGCUUCUCUUCCAUGGAAGUUUCAUUUUCCCAGAAUGUAUCCUAAUUUUUGGCCUAAUUCUUCUUCUGAUGAUCGAUUCAACCUCUGAUCAAAAAGAUAGACCUUGGUUCUAUUUCAUCUCUUCAACAAGUUUAGUAAUAAGCAUAACGGCCCUAUUGUUCCGAUGGAGAGAAGAACCUAUAAUUAGCUUUUCGGGAAAUUUCCAAACGAACAAUUUCAACGAAAUCUUUCAAUUUCUCAUUUUAUUAUGUUCAACUUUAUGUAUUCCUCUAUCCGUAGAGUACAUUGAAUGUACAGAAAUGGCUAUAACAGAGUUUCUGUUAUUCGUAUGUAUAUUUAAAACAAUCUACUAAUGGUCUGCUGACUGCCAAGCUUCAGCAAAGAUAUAGAAACAAACUUAAAAGACACACAAUGCAUCAAGAUAUAAUGUGUCAAAAAAACAACAGAAUGAGUGCAUGUUACGGGACAUGCAAGGAUUACACAUCUCAUCAAGGAUAAUCGAAGAAACUACAAACCAGCUGUGCCUUCCUUCACUG